rnacentral:rRNA from 1 species
CCCACGGGAGGCAGCAGUGGGGAAUUUUGGACAAUGGGCGAAAGCCUGAUCCAGCAAUGCCGCGUGAGUGAAGAAGGCCUUCGGGUUGUAAAGCUCUUUUGUCAGGGAAGAAACGGUGAGAGCUAAUAUCUUUUGCUAAUGACGGUACCUGAAGAAUAAGCACCGGCUAACUACGUGCCAGCAGCCGCGGUAAUACGUAGGGUGCAAGCGUUAAUCGGAAUUACUGGGCGUAAAGCGUGCGCAGGCGGUUUUGUAAGUCUGAUGUGAAAUCCCCGGGCUCAACCUGGGAAUUGCAUUGGAGACUGCAAGGCUAGAAUCUGGCAGAGGGGGGUAGAAUUCCACGUGUAGCAGUGAAAUGCGUAGAUAUGUGGAGGAACACCGAUGGCGAAGGCAGCCCCCUGGGUCAAGAUUGACGCUCAUGCACGAAAGCGUGGGGAGCAAACAGGAUUAGAUACCCUGGUAGUCCACGCCCUAAACGAUGUCUACUAGUUGUCGGGUCUUAAUUGACUUGGUAACGCAGCUAACGCGUGAAGUAGACCGCCUGGGGAGUACGGUCGCAAGNUUAAAACCGNGAAAGAUUGACGNNGAGAGAGACGAGGAGACACGAGGAGGAG